CACAACUAAUUCUUGUAAUAUCUCAACAGCUUUUGUACGAGGAGUGGGCAAACUACAGUGUCUUUUAUAAGUACCAGCCCAUUGGACUUGUUCGGAAAUAUUUUGGUGAGAAGAUUGGCCUUUACUUUGCCUGGUUGGGCCUGUAUACCCAGAUGCUUAUUCCUGCAUCACUAGUGGGGGUCAUUGUGUUUCUCUAUGGAUGUGCAACAGUUGAUGACAAUAUACCAAGGUAAGCUCUGACACACUCUAAAUGUGUUCAUGAAGAAUUACACAAUGAAGGGAUAUGUGUUAGAAGGUCACAUAUAGUAUAGUAUGGGAGACACUUUGAACAUGAAUGUGGUGGAAGGAAGGUGCUGCUGACGUCUUGAAAAAUAAUAUUCGGAAUGAUGAUUUCAAGUGUCAAGUUAGUGCUAGUUGUUCGGAAUUAAUCUUUAGCUUGUGUAAUUAUUAAUAAUUGUAAUUAAUAAUUCCUUAUUAAUGAAAUUAUUAAUAAAGUUAGAGUUUCUAUAGUUGAAAGCGAUGAUUAUCCAAACGGGCAAGUCUCAUGCCAGAAUGAAUUCACCUCUACCAGAUGAGCAGAUACGCCUCACACACAUCAAAAUGAUCACACACACUUCAUUCCAGUUGGUCUGAGAAUUUCUUAACAAAAUAGCUCAACAUUAUAGUAAAAAUCAACACACUGU